rnacentral:rRNA from 1 species
UCUAGCUUGCUAGAAGAUGACGAGCGGCGGACGGGUGAGUAACGCGUAGAAAUCUACCUAGUAGUGGGGGAUAGCCCAGAGAAAUUUGGAUUAACACCGCAUACGCCUACGGGGGAAAGCGGGGGAUCUUCGGACCUCGUGCUAUUAGAUGAGUCUGCGUCGGAUUAGCUUGUUGGUGAGGUAAUGGCUCACCAAGGCGACGAUCCGUAGCUGGUCUGAGAGGAUGACCAGCCACACUGGAACUGAGACACGGUCCAGACUCCUACGGGAGGCAGCAGUGGGGAAUAUUGCACAAUGGGCGCAAGCCUGAUGCAGCCAUGCCGCGUGUGUGAAGAAGGCCUUAGGGUUGUAAAGCACUUUCAGCAGUGAGGAAAGGGGUGUCGUUAAUAGCGCCAUCCUGUGACGUUAACUGCAGAAGAAGGACCGGCUAACUCCGUG